UAGGGAAUAUUGCAAAAUGGGCGAAAGCCCGAUGCAGCAACGCCGCGUGGGCGAUGAAGGCCUUCGGGUCGUAAAGCCCUUUUUGAGGGGAUGAGGAAGGACAGUACCCUCAGAAUAAGCCUCGGCUAACUACGUGCCAGCAGCCGCGGUAAAACGUAGGAGGCGAGCGUUAUCCGGAUUUACUGGGCGUAAAGCGCGUGCAGGCGGAUUGGAGAGUUGGAUGUGAAAGCUCCCGGCUUAACUGGGAGAGGUCGUUCAAUACUUCCAGUCUUGAGUGCAGUAGAGGGUAGUGGAAUUCCUGGUGUAGUGGUGAAAUGCGUAGAUAUCCGGAGGAACACCAGUGGCUAAAGCGGCUUCCUGGACUGUAACUGACGCUCAGACGCGAAAGCUAGGGUAGCAAACG
rnacentral:rRNA from 1 species